rnacentral:lncRNA from 1 species
CUGCUGUGGGAGAAGAAGAUAACCUGAGCAGUAUUGUGACAAAAUUCAGUGCUGGCACAGCAGAGCUCCCCUGGAUGAGAUGGUCUCAGAAUUAAUAUGUGGCAGGGAUUCUCACUGCCAGGGGAACAGCCAAGGAUCCAGGGAGGAGCCAUGGAAAUGCAUGAGAUAUGCCAGCUCUCAAGAGCAGCUUGAAGUGGCACUGGGCCCCUUCGAUUCUGGCCCUUGGCAGCAGCUGGUGUUGCCCAAGUUUGAAGUGGGGCAGAGAUGCAGCUGAGCUCCCAGCCCACCUCUGGGGGGAAGCUGAAAAGGGCAUCUUUUCUCCUUCAGACCAGUCCACCUUCACUAACUUUUAGCCAGAGGAGCUUCCUACGCAGAGCAUCAGAGUGUUGCACACACAUGACCAGAACUGCCACAGGCAGACACCAGAAACUACACUAAAAACAAUUAAAAUAUGCUCAUGAAAUCCCACUUCCCUGCUCAUCCAGCCCAUCAAACUCUAGUCUAGAUGAUGGGGUUUCUGAGCUCCUCUGAGCAAACAGUGUGAAAAUAUAAGUCUUGGUUUGGUGCAUGCCCAGAGUGUUGAACUAAUAACACUUGUCUCAUAUGUAAG